rnacentral:misc_RNA from 1 species
UUUAGACCGAUUCGUGAAGAUGAAGUAUCAAGAAUGAUCAAGAAAAUAUCUCAGCAUGUUGUCACUUCACAAAUCACCAAUUUGAGCAAUUUAAUGAUUUUAUUAAGUAGCAGUAUUAUUUUUAGAGUUGCUUUUGGUAUUAGGUAUGACGAAGAAUCACAUGAAAGUAGGAGGUUUUAUUUUCUUUUUGAAGAAUCAGCAGCAAUGAUGACUAGCUUCUUCGUGUCUGAUUUUUUUCCUUCUUUAAAUUGGAUCGAUAAACUUACUGGAUUGACAAAUAGACUUGAUAAGAAUUUCAAGGAGUUGGAUG